rnacentral:lncRNA from 1 species
GCAGGUUUAACCGAACCGAGUCAAUUGGGAAUUUUUGGGAGGAUUCCCUUGGGCAACAGGGAACCCUAAAAAUAUAAAGAAAAAUAAAACAUUUAUGGGCUACUAUACAAUCAUUAAUAAAUUUUCCUAUGUCCCAUUUUCUUUUUUGACACUAAGCAGUUGUAAAAUUAAUUAUCUGCAGCAUCAGCCACAAGCAGCAAAAGCAUUAGUUCCUAAGAGUAAUUAAUUAAAAUAAAUAGUUGUUCUAGCUAGUAAGAUUCAAAGCGCAACCUGCAUGCCAUCAAG